GUAGUUCGAUCCGUGGCUCGACGGGCGAACGCUGGCGGCGUGCCUAACACAUGCAAGUGGAGCGACGAACCGGGGCUUGACCCCGGGGCAGAGCCCGCGAACGGGUGAGUAACACGUCGGGGUUACCUGACCCCGAUGACUGGGACAACCCGUCGAAAGACGGGCUAAUACCGGAUGUGCCCCUUCGGGGGGAAAGGAAGCUUCGGCCUCCGCAUCCGGGAUGGGCCCGCGGGCGCAUUAGCUUGUUGGUGGGGUAAUGGCUUACCAAGGCGACGAUGCGUAGCUGGUCUGAGAGGACGAUCAGCCACACUGGGACUGAGACACGGCCCAGACUCCUACGGGAGGCAGCAGUGGGGGAUCUUGCACAAUGCGCGAAAGCGUGAUGCAGCAACGCCGCGUGCGGGAAGAAGGCCUUAGGGUUGUAAACCGCUUUCAGUUGGGACGAAGCUUCAGUCGUUAAUAGCGGUUUGGAGUGACGGUACCUUCAGAAGAAGCGCCGGCUAACUACGUG
rnacentral:rRNA from 1 species